AAAUGGAGAACAGCUGCUCACGCUCGUCGUCUGACAUCAGCUAUUUCUCAGGAUGACCCUGCGAGACAGGCCAGGGUCAUUAGACCCAAUUUGGUUCUCAGCAAAUAUGUGUUUAUUCCUGCAUGCGUGGGCCACAGGCUGGUUUCUUGGGUGCAAUGAAUAGCUGCAGGUUUAUUAGGGUGUCUUUUUAGAUGGAUGUAUGUUUCCCGAUGUCUAUAGAACACUCCGGACCCCGGAGAGUGAAGACUCUGCCUGUCGGACUUGCUUUGAGAAGAUCCUUCUCCACCUCCCCAUGGCAGAAGUUGCUUCACAGAGGGGAACAGUUUUAUGGAUGUGGCUGAGACCUUAAACUUGAGGCAACCCAUCUGAGGUGGCAUCCAGAGGAGACUGGCUGGCCCCUCCUUCACCUUGGAUGUAGUGCUGUUUCUAGGAUCUCUUUUCAAUCAGCAAAACAGGGGAUGUUCCAAGAGGGUGUGGAUUCCCUGCCAUCCCACAUGGUCAAGUGGAGGGGACGGGAAAAAGCUAUGAAGGGUUUGUGACCACACAGACUCUCCUGGCCCCCUGUCCUUUUGGAAAGAAGACAGGGAUGAAAUAUAAUCAAGCAAUUAACCACCCCCAUCAUCACCAAGAACAACAGUAUCAACAAGAAGAACAGGGACAACAAAACCCACGGAUGAAACAUUCCUUUCUCAGCUCAGAUCUUAUCUGGUGCGUUCUCUCUCUGCUCUGUCUUGGUGUGUGGUUUAGAGAAACAUGGACAACGCUGUUUGGAAGAACAGGUGAGCGAGGGUGGGGAAUUUCAGAGGCCUGGGCCCACCGCCUCCACCCCUUCCCCAGUUUAACCUUUGACAGGAUCUUCACCUCUCUCUGAUCAGCAUUGCUUCUUGUUCAAAGGCCUCAGCCACCCAGCUGUGUCCCUUUCCCCAGAAAGCAAGGGCAGAUGGCAGUGGGUCUGUUGAUGAGAGAACUUUAAGGGCCCAAUCAGUCCCUGGGCACCCCCUCCUGGGCUCGUUUUCUCCAGGAGGCUGCAUUCUGAUCCAUAAACCUUCUCCUCGGGGUUUAGGGUCGAGCUGUUCCUGAUGUUUAUCGGAGACUGGGAUCAAAGCUAUCCAGGUCAUAAAUCUCUCUCUGUGGCUGUUGGGCCCCAGGGCAGCUGAAGAGGGUUGACAGCCCUUUGGACCUCAAAGGAAAAAAUGUGCUCUACUCCACCCACUCCCAGCUCUGCCAAGAAGCUGUCCUCUGAGAAGCCAUGGCUGGGCCGUUCCAUUCUGGGGAGCUGCUGAAAAGAGCUGGGAGGCCGAGAAGAACUUGCGUGUGCUGGGGGAGAGGAAGCCUGGCCUUGAGGGAGGGGUGCAGGUGUGGCUCCUCUGUGUGUGGGGGCUGGGGGACCUUGUGUGCCUUUUCCUUGUGGCUGUGAAAUGCUUUAUGAGUACUUCCAUAGGAGGAUGGACAGGGAGUCGGGGAGAUAAACUCAGCCACAAGGCCCCAGGGCCUCAGGAAACUUGCACCCAACCCUCUCAUUUUACAGAAGAAAACUGUGCCUGGAAGGUUGAAGGGUUUGUUCCCAGUCACACAACCAGGGAUCCUUAGGACAGCCAGACCAGGAAACCAUUUCCAAACUGCCAAGCCAUGGCAGAGUAUCAAGACCUCAGGAACCAUCGAGACACCAUGGAAGCAUUGGGAAAAGCCUCCUUAGCUUUUGAAGCUCCUCAUUGUUCUUGAGUGUGCAUGGAGCCCAUGACUGCGGGGUUUUGUAGACACCUCAGGGAUUACAUGACUGGUACCCCUGACAAAGUCAAGGCUGCUGGACAAAAUGAGUCCGAGGAUUUCAGGGGCAGCUGGGCGCAGGAGCUGGUGGGCUGUUGGGAGUGCCCCUUUACUGGGCAGGCUUCCUUCCUCCUGGUGAUGGGGGGUUCCUCAGCACAAAAGUGAAGGGGUGGAGGGGCUGGAGGAGCAGGAAUCUCUCUUGUUGAUAGGUAUGAGGCCUUGAAGUCCUUUUCUUUGUCCCAGGAUUCAUGGACGCUUCGGGGCUGAUCUUUGAGUUUUCAAGCAUGGGGUGCAGAGACGUUUAGGUAAACUCUUACCGUCCUCUCUCUUCGUCAGGGCUUCCCAGGAAUCAACAAUGCCCAAGAAGGAAGGGAUUGUAGAAAUAGCUUAACCCUUUCAUUUACCAACGUGGAAAUUGAAGCCCAGGGAAGGGAAGGGACCGGUCGUGGAAGGGAGAGCCAUCAGCAGAAAGAGACCCUGAGAUCUUCGCCUGGGAUUCCCAGGAAGUCCAGCCCGAGCUGAUUCACAGAACAAAUGCAUGCAAACCUUGCUAUCAAUAAAUUACACAUGCACUUACGUAAAACACAUAAAAAUAUAUGGCCUUGGUUUUGGAACAAUACCCCACAGAUAAAAGUAGCUUUAAAUCCUCCAUAAAAUGAUAAAGUCUAGUCCUAAACUCCUAGCAGUUCUGCGGGUGAUCACAGGCGGCAGGAGCCGCUCAAACUUUAAUGGCUUGGUAUCUCCACAUGUAGACAGGAGGCAGAAAACCAUCGGGGAUGAAGUCGUGGGCUCUAGAAUUGCAAAGACGUGGGUUCCAGGCCAGGCUUGGCCCUUGCUAACUGUUGACCUUGAGCAAAUUACCCAACCUGUUCCUUAUUUGUUUCUGCCUCAUAGGUAGUUGUGCAGAUGAAAUGAUAUCAGUUCUCAGAACAGUGCUGGGGACAGAGUACACUCUAUGCUCAAUACAUAUUCACUUUUAGAGAUAUCUUGGGAUUCUCAGUCUAAGUGACAUUCAAAAGUACCUCACUGGGAGGCAAGACCAAGGUGGAGCCUCCUCUUGGAUGGGAUGUGGGCCUAUUUUAUUUUACUUCUUUAUUUUUGUAGGUGCAUGCCACCACACUUGCUAAUUAAUUUUUUUUUUUUUUUUUUGUAGAGAUGGGGUCUCACUAUGUUGCUCAGGCUGGUCUUAAACUCCUGGCCUCAAGCAAUCCUCCUGCCUCAGCCUCCCACAGUGCUGGGAUUACAGGCAUGAACCACUGAGCCCGGCACCUCUAUUUUAAAUCUAUUUUAUCUUUUGAGAUAUAGUCUUGCUCUGUCACCCAGGCUGGAGUGCAGUGGCGCGAUCUCAGCUCCCUGUAACCUCUGCCUCUCGGGUUCAAGCAAUUCUUCUGCCUCAACCUCCCAAGUAGCUGGGACUACAGGCGCCCGCCACCACGCCUGUCUAAUUUUUUGUAUUUUUAGUAGAGACAGGGUUUCACCAUGUUAGCCAGGAUGGUCUUGAACUCCUGACCUCGUGAUCUGCCUGCCUCGGCCUCCCAAAGUGCUGGGAUUACAGGCGUAAGCCACUGCACCCGGCUAUUUUAAAUCUACAGACAAAUCACCCAUGAAGUGCAGUGGGGGAAUAGAGGGCUGGGCUCAGUUAAUUCAGAAGAAGAUUUAUCCCAGGAUCAGGAAAUGAGAGUUUCAGAUGUUGCCAGUAGCUUAAGUGGCUUUUAGGGCCUUUUUUCUGUCUGGCCAGGGCUCAUCCUGGGCUGAGCUUUAAGGCCUGUUAGGGGCUGAAUUCUGUCCCCCUCAAAGUUUAUAUGUUGAACUCAUAACCCCAGUACCUUAGACUGUGACUGUAUUUGGAGAUAGGGUCUCUAAAGAGGUAAUUAGGUUAAAAUGAGGUCACUAGGGUGGGCCCUAGUCCAAUAGAAAUGUGUCCUUGUUGGAUAAGGGGCAACGUGGACACAGACACGUGCAGAGGGGAGCCCCUGUGAAGAAGCGGGGAGAAGACAGUCACCUGCAAGCCACAGACGGGGCCUGUGAAGGAACCAAUCCUGUCAAUACCUUGGUCUUGGUCUUGGCCUUCCAGCCUCCAAAACCCAGAGGCCAUCAAUUUCUGGUGAGGCAGCCCUAGCCGCCUUUCUAAGCGUUCAUACUCCUGGUUUGGCAGAGGGGAAGGGACCACGGCCAGCGCUUCUUAAACCUUCGUGUGUGUGAAACUCACUUCCUGGGGAGCUGGAUCAAGAUGCAGAUUCUAUGACCAUCUAGUUUCCCCUUUCUCAUCCCUUAUCUAAUUUGCUCCUCUGUGGAACUGUGUGAAGUAGACAGGGCAAGAAUUUUCAUCCCCAUUUUCCAGAUUAAGAAACUGAGUCUCAGAUGGAAGAAUCACAGCAAGUGAGAGGCAGUCAAGCCUCCAACUCAGGUCAAGUGAGGCGUCCUCACAUCCCAUGCCCCCCGUAAUUUCCCGAUCCCUAGCAGGGGCACCUGGGGAGACUCCCUGGUGAUGCUGUGUCAGGACUCCCUUCUUUAUUUUGAGACAGAGUUUCACUCUUGUCACCCAGGCUGGAGUGCAGUGGUGUGAUCUCAGCUCAUUGCAACCUCCACCUCCCAGGUUCAAGCAAUUCUCCUGCCUCAGCCUCCCAAGUAGCUGGGAUUAUAGGUGCCUGCCACCAUGCCUGGCUAAUUUUUGUAUUUUUAGUUGAGACGGGGUUUCACCAUGUUGGCCAGGCUGGUCUUGAACUCCUGACCUCAGGUGAUCCACCUGCCUCGACUUCCCAAAAUGCAGGGAUUACAGGUGUGAGCCACCGUGCCUGGCAGGGCUCCCUUUUUGACAGACACUGUCUUAGACCUCAGGCUCCCUCAGGCCUUCGCUCUUGGGGGUUGGAGCUGAGGGGAGGAUGGAAAGUGUCCCUCCCCAUCACAGCGCAGCUAGCUGGUGAGAGGGGCUGGGAGCUCCCGGAUCUGUCUGGACAUGCAGCCACUCCUGGCAGUCCCCACCCCUCCUUCCACCCAGCCCCUCUGCCUUCCAGCAAGUGAAUGAAGUCAGGCAGGCCCUGGGCCAUCCCGGGUGAAGGAGGGAGUGGGCAUGGCUUGGCACUCCAAGGGCUCGCCAUUGGGAGGGGCGUGGAGACGGUGUGAACUCCUUGGUGUCUUGCUCUUGUCAUCUUCCAGCAUGACAUAUGCACAAAGGUACCUUUUAUAGGUGGGAAAUUAUAGGUGCUGCCACUUCAAAGGCCUUGGCAACCAGAGCUCCUCUUUGAUAGAUGACAGUAUUAUUAAUGGUGAUUUAUUGCUGGGGCCAUUUUGACAACAGAAAUAACCAGUUUCCCCACCUUUUCGGCUCUCUUCUCCCACACCUUCCUGGGGAUUUUUUUUUAUUUUGGCUGGCCCUGUGUGUUUUUCUGGCUGCAGGGGUUACCUCCCUGCACGAGGAGGCAUGGGAGGUAACCCAUGGAGCAUCUGCUUAAGGCACAUAGUGAGGCAUCUGGCUUAUUAACUUGUCAUCAUGUGUCAUAAAGUUUAGUGAAAUGCUGGCAGAUUGUAAUCCUAAACAGGGCAAUUACCCUCUUAUUAAAGCAGUACUUUUUCUGUCUGUCUGUCUGUCUCUCUCUUAUUUUUCUCUCUCUCCCUGCCUCCACCCCCUUUCCUGGGAUUGUUGUUACCUCUGCCCUACUUGCACAAUUAGUCAUGAGCGGAGGUCACCUGCUUCAUAAUGAUCCCAGAGUAGGCCUGGCCUUGGCGGGGCAGAGCUGAAGGGGAAGGGGCAAAGGAGAGCUAACCAUGGUGAGGCUUGCUGCAGCAAGCUGGCCUCACGGGGCAUGGGGACAAGGCGCUGUCCCAGGCGGGAGGCUGCAGUAAGAAGGUUGUGGUCUGAGGUUUCUGGCUGCAGGCAGCGAGAAGGAGAGAGGAGAGAGAGCUGACAGGAGCGACUGAGCCUCUGUGGACUUCGCCGCUCACCCAGAUUUUCCGGCAGAGAUGCCUCCCUCUGCCUUUUUCUCCCUCACUUUCGUAUCUCGAAACACAGGUGGAAAAUAAGAAAGGAAGUGGCAGUGGGUGAUGGGGGCCUGGGACAUGAGGACUCCUCACUUGAUCUGAAUUGGAGGCUUGGCUGCCACUCACUUGCUAUGAUUCUUCCAUCUGAGACUCAAUUUCUAAAUCUGUGAAAUGGGGGUGAAACAUCUUGCCCUGUCUGCUUCCCACAGUUUUAGGGAAGAUCAAAUUAGAAAAGGGAUAGGAAAGGGGAUGGCUCAUGGUAACUCACUCCACAAAUCUGAGGGAUGAUUGUAAUUUCAUAUGUGUGACCACAGGGUCUUAUGUCAUGUCUAACGGAGCUCUACCCCCGUGAUUCCAAAGGAUCGUUGACUAUAUUGAAAUUUGGUCUUCUGUCUCUUUCUGUAUUCCUCAGGGUUUUGAUGACCUUGGUUUCUAAAUCUGCCUGGGAGGCAUUGUUUGACUCUGGUCUGAACAACAGGAGUUUUCGGCACAGGUGUGAUCAUGUUACCUGCACAGUGCGAGGUUAAGAAGACAAAUGGGGGUAGGCUAGAGGCAACAGCCAAAUCACAAUUUGCCAGAUCUGAAAAGACCUUAGAGAUUACCUAGCUGAAUUGUCCCCUGCUGUAGAUUUGUAAAUCGAGGCUCGAAGAGGUAGAAUAACUUUCCUAAAAAUCAUCAGAUAAAUGACAGGCAGAGUGGAGACUAGAUCUCCCAUCGCCAGACUUGGCCCAGUGCUCUGUCCACCAAAGCAUGUUGACUGCAUCAACUCUGGGUGCACCUUCUCCUCCUUUAUCAUCAGUCAGCGUUCAGGAAAGCACUGCUAGCAGUCAUUUACACCUUAGCAUGAAUUUAAGCCAACAUUUAGUUCUCCCAGGUGCAUUUGCUUUUUUUUUUUUUGAGAUGGAGUUUUGCUCUUGUCGCCCAGGCUAGAGUAUAAUGGUGUGAUCUCAGCUCAUUGCAACCUCCACCUCCCGGGUUCAAGCGAUUCUCCUGCCUCAGCCUCCUGAGUAGCUGGGAUUACAGGCACCUGCCACCACGCCUGGCUAAUUUUUGUAUUUUUAGUAGAGACGGGGUUUUGCCAUGUUGGUCAGGCUGGUGUCAAACUCCUGACCUUAGGUGAUCUGCCCACCUCGGCCUCCCAAAGUGCUGGGAUUACAGGCGUGAGCCACUGUGCCCAGCCGCAUUUGCUUUUGAGGUCUCAUCCCAUUGUAUAGAUUGUUCCCUGUCAAUGGCAUUUCCAGCACUGGUGAGAAGAGAGGCAAGGCAGGGCUUGUGAUUCUCAUCCCCAAGACCCUGCCACUUGCCUACUCGCUCGGGCAAUGAGGGCGGGCACUGCUUCCAGAGUUAAACUGCACUGGACCCAGAUCUAUGUGUCCAUAAGUCAGAGCAAGUUUGUCAGAAGCUGUCAGGGAGUAAGGCUGAGUAGACGGAUGGAGUCAGACUCAUUUAAAAAUGGAAUACCAGCAGAUAGGUUUAAAAAUGGAAUGCGGCCGGCUAGAGUGAAGGUGGUCCCUAAACCAAACACCUGUCCCUUCUGUGUGUUUUCUGGUUUCUUUCCCCAUUGCUCGAGAAUGCUAGAAGCCAGACUAGUAUUAAGAACUCUAAAUUCCUAGCCUGGCAUGGUGGUUUACACCUGUAAUCCCAGCAACUUGGGAGAUCAAGGCAGGAGGGGAUCACUUGAGCCCAGGAAUUUGAGACCAACCUGGGCAACGUGUUGAAACCCCAUCUCUACAAAAAAUACAAAAAUUAGUCAGGCAUGUGGUGCAUGCCUGUAGUCUCAGCUACUUGGGAGGUUGAGGUGGGAGGAUUGCUUAAGCCCAGGAGGUCGAGGCUGCAGUGAGCCAUGAUCGCGCCACUGCACUCUAGCCUGGGUGACAGAGCGAGACCUUGUCUCAAGACAAACAAACAAACAAACAAACAAAAAACUCUUAAGUUCUAAGUGCCUGGAGCAGGGAGUGUUUCUGAGGCCUCAUGUUUACCAGGGCACUGUGCUAUGUGCAGGGUAGUGAGGGGGAGAGACACCAUUCCAACAUCUUGGAGCCCAAGUCUAGAGUCAGGGCCACAGAGGCGGGAGAGGAAGAGAAUCCCACUGCAAAUGGGCUGGGCCUCCCUGCCUUUGCCCAUUGAGUGAGCAACAGUGCUGUUUCUAUAGGUCUCUUUGAGCCUUAAGCAUGGAAUGUGAUGAGACUGAACAGUGAUAAAAUGUAUUGAUGGAACUUCUGUUCAUUGAAAUGCAAAGGGGAAGAAAGAAUUUAGAAAUGAUCUGAGGUUUCCAGCUUGGGGAGAGAGAAAGUGAGAGGAAGUGGGGGCCUAAGGGGAAUGGAAUGAACAGCCCCGACUUCAGGCUUGUAGACUGCAAUGGGGCAAGGCAGCUACAUGCAAAUGUCCUUCCUGGAGCCUGGAAACAAGGUCAAAGCAGAGAUGGACAAGUAGGAGCGCAGCCUAGAGGAGAUAGGUGAUGCCUGAAGCCAUGAGAAGGGGUGUUAUCUCUGCAGGAAGAAGAAUUGCAACACUCCUCCCAGCUGAGCAAACAGUCUGGGCUGGGAUGUGAGUGGUAUCACACUCUGCACUCACUUCCUCCUUCAGUGGUCAUUUGAGAGUUCACUGGGGCUGACCUACCCCAUUGGUCCUGGAGGACAGAAAGGAAUGGAGAAUAAAGAAGGUCUAAGGUGCAGUUUUUCCCCCUCCUCCAAAGCCAUGAAGGGACCUAUGGAUUUGAAAGCUGUGUGUGGUCACUGUGGACAGAGUGACUCCUACCCCACUGGGGGGCUUUGCCAGCCAAGGCACAAAUCAAGCCUUCUCUUUGCCCUCUGAAGUCAAAGGGAGAAGACCGGGGUUGUCCAUCUUUAUAGGCAGCCUCAGAUGAUCCAACCUAAUAUACGUCAUUAACAAAUUGUGUGAUCUUGAACAAGUCAGUUUAUCUCAUUGUGACUCAAGUGAACAUAAGGGUAUAGAGCAUUUGCCCUGCUGACCUCACUGGAUCAUUGUGAAAUAAUAGCUAAUGAGAUGGUGCAUAGCAGGUGUUUUGUAAACUUAACAGUGAUAGGCAAAGCUUAGUUCCCAUGAGAAUGACUCUCUGACUAUUAUCUAUGGCAUUGGAAUACUGACCUCCCUUCUCUGAGAAAGCUCCAGCGGCAAAAUGCUUCUGAUCUCAAACUUUAGGACCAAUUUUCUGGUUUACAGGGCAGGACGAGCCCCUUCUCUUAAGGAUCAAGGGGAUGAAGGAGAAUUCCCUGCUUUUGGUGGGGGGUUACUUCUGAAAGCCAUGCCCUGCUCCCAUCUGAGGAGGUCACCCAGUCCUAGUUUUGUCUGGAAGCACCCUGCCCAGCCCCAGGGGCCAGCCCCAUCCCAGCCAGGCCUCAGAGAUGUCAGACCUGAAAGGCAGCUGCUGCCUCUCCUUCUGACAGGUGUCUCCGCCAGAGCUGGGAGAUGAGGAGAUAGGCGAGCUGAGCACCUUUCCUCCUUGAAUUGAUAACUGCUUUGCAAUGCAGCUCUGUACUUGCUAAAUGAAACCUCCUGCCCCACCAUGAUGGAUUUAUGGCUGAAACAUCUUAUCUCAACUGAGAAUAUUUUAUGAGUGUGCAUGGGUGUGUGUGGGAUAGGAGGAGGGAAAAGGCAGUUUUGCAAACAUUUCUAGAGGUGCUCCAUAAUCUGCCCUACCCUGAAGUAUUAUCUAGAAGCUCUUUCUAGAUCUGCCAGGCUUAAGCAUCUAUAAGUCUUCUCCAGAUGCUAGCACAAUGUAGAUGCCUCAUGAAACAUUUGCUGAUGAUGAUGAUGACGAUGAUGACGAUGAAGGCUGUGGUCUGGAAGGGGACUCUGUUUUUGAUAAGUUUAAUUCAAUCCAGCAAAUAUUGAACAAAUGCUCAUUUUUGUUCAGGGCUAGGAAAGCUACUAUUAUUAUUUUUUUGGUGGGGUGGAGAAAGGGGAGAGUUGGAGAAUAUAAAAAUAAAUGACACAAACUCUUUUCUCUACAUCCUUGGUCUAUACUGAGGGGCCAGGACAUGCACAUUCGGAGUGGAUGUGGAGCAGAAGGGGUUGGAGUGGCAAGAACUAAUGGCCCAGAGUGUAGCUUCAGGAGCUGGACACACCUGGUGGGAUCUUUAGGUAGUUUCUUGUCUUUUGAGCUCCUCAGUUUUCUCCCCUCUAACAGGGGGACAACACUAUUCCCUAGCUCUAAGGUUGGUGUGAAGGUCAUAGGAUUUGCGUAGGGGUUACUUGGUACCAUGUGGGGUCAGCAGCUCAGUAGCAUCACCAACACGAGGAUGAAGAUGAAGGACCGACUCACUGACGAGGGUGGGCUGGAGAUGACUGGGAGCCAGGAACCAUCACAAACUCAGGGCUCUGUGUGCACUGGUUAUCCCAUUCUUUUGCAACCUUGUAAAAUUAAUUUAAUAGGUAGUACAUCCAAGUGGUUUAAAAAGCAAAAGGUAUAAAGAAAUAUGCAGUGAAGAUGAAAAUUGCUCUCAGUUCUGACCCCUCACUAUUGUGCUCCUCCUUCUCAGAGGCAGCUGUUGUCAUUGGUUUCUGGGGCAUUCUUUCCAAGGGCGUUGUACACCCAGCAUCUAAUGAUGCUACCUCUUCUUCCUCUUUCUUGUUUUAACCCAAAAGGAGGAAUUGGGAGUUGAUGAUAGCCAUAGAGUGGAAGGCAGCAGCUGGAGGGAGGAAGCUGGAUGUAUCUGAGCAUCUACUACGUGCCAGGCCCAGAUGAAAUCUUAUCAGUUCUAGCGAAAUUUGGAGAAAGAUUCACUGUCUUAGAAUUUGAAAACAUCAGUGCUGGAGGGGAAGGUGGAAGCCAUCUGGCUAAUCUUCAUUUACUGAUAUGGAAGUGACUAGUCCAAAGUCCCAGAGCUUUCUGAUUUUUGCUUCUUCUUGCUAGGAAAGCAAUUAUCCUAUAAUAAUCCUUCUUUACAGGUAAAAAUAUUUUAUGGUGCACCUGCCUCCCUUGCCAGUGGAAUGACAGUCUCCAUAGACCUGUGGGCCAUCUGGGCCCUGGGCCAGCCUCCUUGUCUCACACUAGCUUGUUGGGGACCUGCCCUUGCUGGCACCCAUCAUUCCAGCUCCCUCCUGUUGUAACUCCUGCCCCAAAUCCCAGGACUUGUCGCUGCCAGCUUUUUCCCCUGUUGUUCCUUGUCUUCCCACCCUUCUCAGGACUCAGGUCACCAGGAUAGGUGGACAUCCAAUUCCUGCUGGAGUGCCAGCAGGAGAGAUUUGGGGAACUCUUCCAGGUAAAGGGGGUUUUACCUGCUAAGGGUUGACUUGUGUCUCCCCCACAAAUUCAAAUAGUGAAGUCCUAAACCUGCCAGUACUUCAGAAUGUAAUUAUCUUUGUAGAUAGGGUCUUUAAUGGGGUAAUUAAAUUAAAGUGAGGUCACUAGGGUGGGGCCUAAUCCAAUAUGACUGGUGUCCUUAUAAGAAGAGGAAAUUAGGACACAGACAGGCACAGAGCGAUGACCAUGUGAAGACACAGGGAAGAGAUGGCCACCUACCACCAAGCCAUGGUCACCUACCAUCCAAGCCAUGGUCACCUAUCACCAAGCCACAGUCAUCUACCAUCCAAGCCACCGUCACCUACCAUCCAAGCCAUGGCCACCUACCUGCCAAGCCAUGGCCACCUACCCGCCAAGCCAUGGUCACCUACCCACCAAGUCAUGGUCGCCUACCAUCCAAGGAGCGAGGCCUGGAACAGAUCCUUCCCCAGAGCCCUCAGUAGGAGCCAACCCUGCUGACACCUUGAUCUCAGACUUCAAGCCUCCAGAACUGUGGGACAAUCCUUCACUGUCAUUUAAUCCACCCAGCAUGUGGUCUCUUGUCACAGUUGCAUUAGCCAGUGAACCUACCCGGGCCCUUCUGCAGUCACCUGGCUCAGGAGUGGUUCUGGUCAGGAAGUUCUGAGGCCAGGCAGGAUCGGGACACUCCCUGGAAAGACCCGAGGGAGAUAUUUGGGAAACAAGAGGGCUGGUGUGGCUUCUCAACAUGCCCACCAUAAAUCCUGCGCCAUCCCAGGGCCGAUGGGACCUGCUGUGUGUGCGGUAAACUGAAUGCCAGGAAGCCAGGCUCUGUCGAUCCCUGGUUCUGACUGUUGUGGGAUCUUGAGCAAAUCCCCUCGCCUCUCUGGGUCUCAGUUUCCUGAUUUGUGGGAUGGAGAAAAGGAUUAACUGUCCCACUUACCUUGAGGCUGUGGUGUGGAUUAAAUGAUUAAAAUGCAUAAGUGCAAUUGCAAAAAUAUAGAACCAGCCCAUCAAUCAAUGAGUGUAUAAAGAAACUGUUGUGUAUAUAAUAUAUAUAAUGGAAUACUACUCAGUCAUAAAAAGGAAUGAAUUAAUGGCAUUCGCAGCAACCACGAUGAGAUUGAAGACUACUAUUCUCUUUUUUUGCUUUGUUUUUGAGAUGGAGUCUUCCUCUGUCACCCAGGCUGGAGUGCAGUGGCACGAUCUUGGCUCACUCCAACCUCCGCCUCCCAGGUUCAAGUGAUUUAAGAUUGGAGACUAUUAUUCUAAGUGAAGUAACUCAGGAAUGGAAAAGCAAACAUCAUAUGUUCUCACUCAUAAGUGGAGCUAAGCUGUGAGGAUGUAAAGGCAUAAGAAUGAUACAAUGGACUUUGGGGACUCAGGGGGAAAGGGUGGGAAAAGGGUGAGGGAUAAAAAGCUACAAAUUGGGUUCAGCGUACACUGCUUGGGUGAUGGGUGCACCAAAAUCUCACAAAUCCCCACUAAAGAACUUACUCAUGUAACCAAAUACCACCUGUUCCCCCCAAAUCUAUGGAAAUUAAAAAAAAUUAAAUAAAGUGUGCAAGUGCUGGCGAGGCCCCGA
rnacentral:lncRNA from 1 species